rnacentral:rRNA from 1 species
CGUAGGGGGCUAGCGUUGUCCGGAUUUAUUGGGCGUAAAGAGCGUGUAGGCGGCCGGGUAAGUCCGGUGUGAAAACUCGAGGCUUAACCUCGAGAUGUCAUCGGAAACUAUUCGGCUAGAGUCCGGAAGAGGAGAGUGGAAUUCCUGGUGUAGCGGUGAAAUGCGCAGAUAUCAGGAAGAACACCUAUGGCGAAAGCAGCUCUCUGGGACGGUACUGACGCUGAGACGCGAAAGCGUGGGGAGCGAACAGGAUUAGAUACCCUGGUAGUCCACGCCGUAAACGAUGGGUGCUAGGUGUGGGCGGUGUCGACUCCGUCCGUGCCGAAGCUAACGCAUUAAGCACCCCGCCUGGGGAGUACGGCCGCAAGGCUA